CCUGGAGACUCCUACGGGAGGCAGCAGUGGGGAAUUUUGGACAAUGGGCGCAAGCCUGAUCCAGCCAUGCCGCGUGUCUGAAGAAGGCCUUCGGGUUGUAAAGGACUUUUGUCAGGGAAGAAAAGGCUGUUGCUAAUAUCAAUAGCUGAUGACGGUACCUGAAGAAUAAGCACCGGCUAACUACGUGCCAGCAGCCGCGGUAAUACGUAGGGUGCGAGCGUUAAUCGGAAUUACUGGGCGUAAAGCGAGCGCAGACGGUUACUUAAGCAGGAUGUGAAAUCCCCGGGCUCAACCUGGGAACUGCGUUCUGAACUGGGUAGCUAGAGUAUGUCAGAGGGGGGUAGAAUUCCACGUGUAGCAGUGAAAUGCGUAGAGAUGUGGAGGAAUACCGAUGGCGAAGGCAGCCCCCUGGGAUAAUACUGACGUUCAUGCUCGAAAGCGUGGGUAGCAAACAGGAUUAGAUACCCCGGUAGUCCGA
rnacentral:rRNA from 1 species